rnacentral:rRNA from 1 species
GACGAACGCUGGCGGCGUGCCUAAUACAUGCAAGUCGAGCGGACAGAUGGGAGCUUGCUCCCUGAUGUUAGCGGCGGACGGGUGAGUAACACGUGGGUAACCUGCCUGUAAGACUGGGAUAACUCCGGGAAACCGGGGCUAACACCGGAUGGUUGUUUGAACCGCAUGGUUCAAACAUAAAAGGUGGCUUCGGCUACCACUUACAGAUGGACCCGCGGCGCAUUAGCUAGUUGGUGAGGUAACGGCUCACCAAGGCAACGAUGCGUAGCCGACCUGAGAGGGUGAUCGGCCACACUGGGACUGAGACACGGCCCAGACUCCUACGGGAGGCAGCAGUAGGGAGUCUUCCGCAAUGGACGAAAGGCUGACGGAGCAACGCCGCGUGAGUGAUGAAGGUUUUCGGAUCGUAAAGCUCUGUUGUUAGGGAAGAACAAGUACCGUUCGAAUAGGGCGGUACCUUGACGGUACCUAACCAGAAAGCCACGGCUAACUACGUGCCAGCCGCCGCAGUAA